rnacentral:rRNA from 1 species
CGAAAGCCUGACGGAGCAAGACCGCGUGGGGGAAGAAGGCUCUUGGGUUGUCAACCCCUUUUCUCAGGGAAGAAGUUCUGACGGUACCUGAGGAAUAAGCAUCGGCUAACUCCGUGCCAGCAGCCGCGGUAAGACGGAGGAUGCAAGCGUUAUCCGGAAUUAUUGGGCGUAAAGCGUCCGCAGGGGGCGCAUCAAGUCUGCUGUCAAAGGUCGGAGCUUAACUCCGGUUCGGCAGUGGAAACUGGUGCGCUAGAGGGCGACAGGGGUAGAGGGAAUUCCCAGUGUAGCGGUGAAAUGCGUAGAGAUUGGGAAGAACACCGGUGGCGAAAGCGCUCUACUGGGUCGCACCUGACCCUCAGGGACGAAAGCUAAGGUAGCG